rnacentral:tRNA from 1 species
UCCCUCGCAGUCCAGUGGUUAAGACUCUGCACUUCCACUGCAGGGGGCACAGGUUCAAUCCCUGGUUGGGGAA